ACGUAGGGUCCAAGCGUUAAUCGGAAUUACUGGGCGUAAAGCGUGCGCAGGCGGUUGUGCAAGACCGAUGUGAAAUCCCCGAGCUUAACUUGGGAAUUGCAUUGGUGACUGCACGGCUAGAGUGUGUCAGAGGGGGGUAGAAUUCCACGUGUAGCAGUGAAAUGCGUAGAGAUGUGGAGGAAUACCGAUGGCGAAGGCAGCCCCCUGGGAUAACACUGACGCUCAUGCACGAAAGCGUGGGGAGCAAACAG
rnacentral:rRNA from 1 species